rnacentral:snRNA from 1 species
UUGCUUCAGCAGCACAUAUACUAAAAUUGGAAUGAUACAGAGAAGAUUAGCAUGGCCCUUGCGCAAGGAUGACAUGCAAAUUUGUGAAGUGUUCCAUAUUUAA